rnacentral:rRNA from 1 species
AUUGGACGCUGGCGGCAUGCCUUACACAUGCAAGUCGAACGGUAACGGGCCUUCGGGUGCCGACGAGUGGCGAACGGGUGAGUAAUGUAUCGGAACGUACCUUUCAGUGAGGGAUAACGUAGCGAAAGUUACGCUAAUACCGCAUAUUCUGUGAGCAGGAAAGCAGGGGAUCGCAAGACCUUGCGCUGAUUGAGCGGCCGAUAUCAGAUUAGCUAGUUGGUGAGGUAAAGGCUCACCAAGGCGACGAUCUGUAGCGGGUCUGAGAGGAUGAUCCGCCACACUGGAACUGGGACACGGUCCAGACUCCUACGGGAGGCAGCAGUGGGGAAUUUUGGACAAUGGGGGCAACCCUGAUCCAGCCAUGCCGCGUGAGUGAAGAAGGCCUUCGGGUUGUAAAGCUCUUUCGGCCGGGAAGAAAUCGUAUCAGCUAAUACCUGGUGCGGAUGACGGUACCGGCAUAAGAAGCACCGGCUAACUACGUGCCAGCCGCCGCGGUAACAC